GAUGAACGCUGGCGGCGUGCCUAAUACAUGCAAGUCGAGCGAAGCGGGGACGGGUGAGUAACACGUGGAUAACCUCCUAUAAGACUGGGAUAACUUCGGGAAACCGGAGCUAAACCGGAUACUUAUCGAUGGAUCCGCGCGGCAUUAGCGAGUUGGUAAGGUAACGGCUUACCAAGGCGACGAUGCGUAGCCGACCUGAGAGGGUGAUGGGCCACACGGGAACUGAGAGAGGGUCCAGACUCCUACGGGAGGCAGGAGGAGGGAAUCGUCCGCUAUGGGCGAAAGCCUGACAGAGCAACGCCGCGUGAGUGAGGAAGGUCUUCGGAUCGCAAAACUCUGUUAUUAGGGAAGCGGUACCUAAUCAGAAAGCCACGGCUAACUACGUGCCAGCAGCCGCGGUAAUAC
rnacentral:rRNA from 1 species